GACGAACCGUGCGAACGUUAUUCGGAAUCACUGGGCUUAAAGCGCGUGUAGGUGGGGCGGCACGUCGGCCGUUGAAAGCCCCCGGCUUAACCGGGGAAGCGGCGCCGAUACGACCGCCCUCGAGGGACGUAGGGGGAGCUGGAACUUCCGGUGGAGCGGUGAAAUGCGUUGAGAUCGGAAGGAACGCCCGUGGCGAAAGCGGCUCUCUGGGACGGUACUGACGCUGAGACGCGAAAGCGUGGGGAGCAAACAGG
rnacentral:rRNA from 1 species